rnacentral:rRNA from 1 species
GACGUAGGGGGCCAGCGUUGUUCGGAAUUACUGGGUGUAAAGGGUCAGUAGGCGGUGUGGCAAGUCGGGAGUGAAAUCUCUGGGCUCAACUCAGAGGCUGCUUCCGAAACUGCUGUGCUUGAGUGUGGGAGAGGCGCGUGGAAUUGCAGGUGUAGCGGUGAAAUGCGUAGAUAUCUGCAGGAACACCCGUGGCGAAAGCGGCGCGCUGGACCACAACUGACGCUGAAUGACGAAAGCUAGGGGAGCAAACAGG